GCGCAAGCCUGAUGCAGCCAUGCCGCGUGUAUGAAGAAGGCCUUCGGGUUGUAAAGUACUUUCAGCGGGGAGGAAGGUGUUGUGGUUAAUAACCGCAGCAAUUGACGUUACCCGCAGAAGAAGCACCGGCUAACUACGUGCCAGCAGCCGCGGUAAUACGUAGGGGACAAGCGUUGUCCGGAUUUACUGGGCGUAAAGGGCACGCAGGCGGUUUUUUAAGUCAGAUGUGAAAGGUACCGGCUCAACCGGUGACAUGCAUUUGAAACUGAAAGACUUGAGUAUUGGAGAGGCAAGUGGAAUUCCUAGUGUAGCGGUGAAAUGCGUAGAUAUUAGGAGGAACACCGGUGGCGAAGGCGGCUUGCUGGACAAAUACUGACGCUGAGGUGCGAAAGCGUGGGGAGCAAACA
rnacentral:rRNA from 1 species